ensembl:snoRNA
CCCUCAGACUCAGUUGUAGGAUUUAAACAUGGAGGUGGCACUGUCUGACACAAUUUGAGCUUGCUACAGCAACAAAGUCUAACCUAUUCCGGUGCUCUCCUCUAUGAGACAAGCUGUUAUAUAGACUUAGUGUUA